rnacentral:rRNA from 1 species
UACGAAGGGUGCAAGCGUUAAUCGGAAUUACUGGGCGUAAAGCGCGCGUAGGUGGUUCAGUAAGUUGGAAGUGAAAUCCCCGGGCUCAACCUGGGAACUGCUUUCAAAACUGCUGAGCUAGAGUACGGUAGAGGAUGGUGGAAUUUCCUGUGUAGCGGUGAAAUGCGUAGAUAUAGGAAGGAACACCAGUGGCGAAGGCGACCACCUGGACUGAUACUGACACUGAGGUGCGAAAGCGUGGGGAGCAAACAGG